CAGCAGCCGCGGGAAUACGUAGGGUGCGAGCGUUAAUCGGAAUUACUGGGCGUAAAGCGUGCGCAGGCGGUUCGUUAAGACAGAUGUGAAAUCCCCGGGCUUAACCUGGGAACUGCAUUUGUGACUGGCGAGCUAGAGUAUGGCAGAGGGGGGUAGAAUUCCACGUGUAGCAGUGAAAUGCGUAGAGAUGUGGAUGAAUACCGAUGGCGAAGGCAGCCCCCUGGGCCAAUACUGACGCUCAUGCACGAAAGCGUGGGGAGCAAACAGGAUUAGAUACCCGCGUAGUCCCUGUCUCUUAUAC
rnacentral:rRNA from 1 species